CAAAGACUCCGUAAGCGGGGGAGCUCCCGGCCAAGCAGCCACAGCCGAGCGCUGCUCUCACCUCGGCCGAGGUGCCACAACACGUUCCAGCCUUCCAGCCGGGAAGCAGCUCCCAGUUACUGCCUGGGGGAAGAUGGAUGAAGAAUGACUGUGGGGCUGGCGUCUUCCCCACCCUGAGUGAAGGAGCAGCAUGGAUGCCUGUUCAGAUGUUCCUGCCAAAAUGAAGACUAAACAGAGCCUUUCUCCAUCAGAGCCCUGCCUGGAGACACCAGUUCAGGUCCCUUUGGAUCCUUCCUCCAUCUACUGAGGGUAUUCUCCAGGCAGACAGCUCAAAUGGGACUGACUGGGGGUGCCAUGAGGACAGUUGAUUGAUCUCCAGAUUUUCUUCUGGUUGAAAUUCUUUGGCAAACACAGCCUGAGUUGCAGGUAACACCAAGGUGACCAAACUACAUAUUCUCAGUCAGCCAGAGCCUGGGUCUGACUCUGUUGUAAAGCCUUGUGAGAGGUCUGUGGUCACAGAAAGAGGAGGAAAUAAAAGUGCCAGCUCUUGA